rnacentral:rRNA from 1 species
GUAGGGAAUCUUCGGCAAUGGACGAAAGUCUGACCGAGCAACGCCGCGUGAAGGAAGAAGGUUUUCGGAUCGUAAACUUCUAUCCUUGGUGAAGAUAAUGACGGUAGCCAAGAAGGAAGCCCCGGCUAACUACGUGCCAGCAGCCGCGGUAAUACGUAGGGGGCAAGCGUUGUCCGGAAUGAUUGGGCGUAAAGGGCGCGUAGGCGGCCUGGUAAGUCUGGAGUGAAAGUCCUGCUUUUAAGGUGGGAAUUGCUUUGGAUACUGUCGGGCUUGAGUGCAGGAGAGGUAAGCGGAAUUCCCGGUGUAGCGGUGAGAUGCGUAGAGAUCGGGAGGAACACCAGUGGCGAAGGCGGCUUACUGGACUGUAACUGACGCUGAGGCGCGAAAGUGUGGGGAGCAAACAGGAUUAGAAACCCUAGUAGUCA